GAGCCGAACGUAGUGAGACCACGUUGCUUUAGCAACGGCCCGCAGGGCAAGCAUCGAAGAUGCGCAUAAUCCUCUCAUGCCGACCA
rnacentral:sRNA from 1 species